rnacentral:rRNA from 1 species
AGUGAACGCUGGCGGUAGGCUUAACACAUGCAUGUCGAACGGCAGCACAGGAGAGCUUGCCCUCUGGGUGGCGAGUGGCGGGCGGGUGAGGAAUACAUCGGAAUCUACUUUUAAGUGGGGGACAACGCAGGGAAACUUCCGCUAAUACAGCAUACGAGCUACGGGUGAAAGCAGGGGACCUUCAGGUCUUGCGCGAUUGAAUGAGCCGAUGUCGGUUUAGCUAGUUGGCGGGGUAAAGGCCCACCAAGGCGACGAGCCGUAGCUGGUCUGAGAGGAUGAGCAGCCACACUGGAACUGAAACACGGUCCAGACUCCUACGGGAGGCAGCAGUGGGGAAUAUUGGACAAUGGGCGCAAGCCUGAUCCAGCCAUACCGCGUGGGUGAAGAAGGCCUUCGGGUUGUAAAGCCCUUUUGUUGGGAAAGAAAUCCAGCUGGCUAAUACCCGGUUGGGAUGACGGUACCCAAAGAAUAAGCACCGGCUAACUUCGUGCCAGCCGCCGCGGUAA